rnacentral:rRNA from 2 species
UUGGUGCUUGCAUCAUGAUUUACAUUUGAGUGAGUGGCGAACUGGUGAGUAACACGUGGGAAACCUGCCCAGAAGCGGGGGAUAACACCUGGAAACAGAUGCUAAUACCGCAUAACAACUUGGACCGCAUGGUCCGAGCUUGAAAGAUGGCUUCGGCUAUCACUUUUGGAUGGUCCCGCGGCGUAUUAGCUAGAUGGUGGGGUAACGGCUCACCAUGGCAAUGAUACGUAGCCGACCUGAGAGGGUAAUCGGCCACAUUGGGACUGAGACACGGCCCAAACUCCUACGGGAGGCAGCAGUAGGGAAUCUUCCACAAUGGACGAAAGUCUGAUGGAGCAACGCCGCGUGAGUGAAGAAGGGUUUCGGCUCGUAAAACUCUGUUGUUAAAGAAGAACAUAUCUGAGAGUAACUGUUCAGGUAUUGACGGUAUUUAACCAGAAAGCCACGGCUAACUACGUGCCAGCAGCCGCGGUAAUACGUAGGUGGCAAGCGUUGUCCGGAUUUAUUGGGCGUAAAGCGAGCGCAGGCGGUUUUUUAAGUCUGAUGUGAAAGCCUUCGGCUCAACCGAAGAAGUGCAUCGGAAACUGGGAAACUUGAGUGCAGAAGAGGACAGUGGAACUCCAUGUGUAGCGGUGAAAUGCGUAGAUAUAUGGAAGAACACCAGUGGCGAAGGCGGCUGUCUGGUCUGUAACUGACGCUGAGGCUCGAAAGUAUGGGUAGCAAACAGGAUUAGAUACCCUGGUAGUCCAUACCGUAAACGAUGAAUGCUAAGUGUUGGAGGGUUUCCGCCCUUCAGUGCUGCAGCUAACGCAUUAAGCAUUCCGCCUGGGGAGUACGGCCGCAAGGCUGAAACUCAAAGGAAUUGACGGGGGCCCGCACAAGCGGUGGAGCAUGUGGUUU